rnacentral:rRNA from 1 species
GAUGAACGCUGGCGGCGUGCUUAACACAUGCAAGUCGAACGAGAAGUGAAGACGGAAACCUUCGGGCGGAAGGCUUUAUUUCGAGUGGCGGACGGGUGAGUAACGCGUGGGUAACCUGCCUCAUACAGGGGGAUAACAGUUGGAAACGACUGUUAAUACCGCAUAAGACCACAGCACCGCAUGGUGCGGGGGUAAAAACUCCGGUGGUAUGAGAUGGACCCGCGUUCGAUUAGCCAGUUGGCGGGGUAACGGCCCACCAAAGCGACGAUCGAUAGCCGAUCUGAGAGGAUGACCGGCCACACUGGGACUGAGACACGGCACAAACUCCUACGGGAGGCAGCAGUGGGGAAUAUUGCACAAUGGGGGAAACCCUGAUGCAGCGACGCCGCGUGAGUGAAGAAGUAUUUCGGUAUGUAAAGCUCUAUCAGCAGGGAAGAAAAUGACGGUACCUGAGUAAGAAGCCCCGGCUAACUACGUG